rnacentral:rRNA from 1 species
AUUGAACGCUGGCGGCGUGCUUUACACAUGCAAGUCGAGCGGCAGCACGACCUUGGUUGGUGGCGAGCGGCGAACGGGUGAGUAAUACAUCGGAACGUACCUUUUAGUUGGGGAUAACGCAUCGAAAGAUGUGCUAAUACCGAAUAAUCUCUGAGGAGGAAAGGCGGGGAUCUCGCAAGGGACCUGUCGCUGAAAGAGCGGCCGAUGGCCGAUUAGCUAGUUGGCGGGUAAAGCCCACCAAGGCGAUGAUCGGUAGCUGUUCUGAGAGGAAGAUCAGCCACACUGGGACUGAGACACGGCCCAGACUCCUACGGGAGGCAGCAGUGGGGAAUUUUGGACAAUGGGGGCAACCCUGAUCCAGCAACGCCGCGUGAAUGAAGAAGGCCUUAGGGUGUAAAGUUCUUUUGUCAGGGAAGAAAAGGCUUGUGCUAAUAUCAUAAGCUGCUGACGGUACCUGAAGAAUAAGCACCGGCUAACUACGUGCCAGCAGCCG